UUUAGGGGUGCUCUUCUAGAUGAAAUUAAAGACAACAAGGAUUGAAAAGUCAUUCUGUGGCAGUGCAUGAGGAAUUGGUAAUGUGCCAUGUUUGAGUGAUGCACUUACAUCCAACAAUCCUCAGGGUUCCAAUGCUGCAAGAGAAUCCAGCUGGCUCUGCUGUUCUCUGAGGAUGAAAACAGUUUCAAGCAGGGACCACUGUAGAAACAGACUACCAACCACAGAGGAAGAGGGAUGGUUUUCUCAAGGCCACACAAGAAUCACAGCACUCAUUCAAGGAUAAAGCAAUGGGACUGUACUGCCUUCCACAUUACA